CCUACGGGAGGCAGCAGUAAGGAAUAUUGCGCAAUGGGCGAAAGCCUGACGCAGCGACGCCGCGUGGGGGAUGAAGGUCUUCGGAUUGUAAACCCCUUUCGGGAGGGAAGAUGGAAUGGGGUAACCCAUUUGGACGGUACCUCCAGAAGCAGCCACGGCUAACUUCGUGCCAGCAGCCGCGGUAAUACGAAGGUGGCAAGCGUUGUUCGGAUUUACUGGGCGUACAGGGAGCGUAGGCGGUUCGGUAAGCCCUUUGUGAAAUCUCCAGGCUUAACCUGGAAAAGUCGGAGGGGACUGCCGGGCUAAAGCACGGGAGAGGGGCGCGGAAUUCCCGUGUAGCGGUGAAAUGCGAAAGUCGGGAGGAAGGGGGGGCGAAGGCCCGCUCUCAACACGCUCCCAUCUGACGUUCUGCGUGAGCUCGAAAGCGUGGGGAGGAAACAGGAAAAAAGUACUCUGCGGCCGGGCUCCCACGGUUAAUACAAAAAAAAAAAGGGGUGGGG
rnacentral:rRNA from 1 species